rnacentral:misc_RNA from 1 species
CAGGGCUUCUUUAGUCAAGAAAGAUAAGAUAAAGCUAAAAUUACAUUUCAAUUAAUCCUUCUUGGUCUCUGCUAAGCUUCUGGUUUAGGUUUUCUCCCAAAUUUCAAAUCCAAAAUCAAAAUUUACCUUCACUUGAUCCAUCCUUCUUCUUCCACCGAUCCUCAAUCAUUUAGGGUUUUCGAUAUGCUGCUACAGCUACUCUCUUCUUCAAUUCUCUGCCAUUGACGGCCUUUUAAACUUUUUAAUUAACAUUAAUUCCUUAAUUUAUGAACUUCUAUUCUGAAAACAAGGAAAUGACGGGUUGUUCCUUAUCUCACGAUCGUAAUUCGGUUCAAUCUCAUGCUUCUAGUAAUUCUCUUCGAAGUGGUAGAAAUGCGUUGUGUUUGUUAGUGCGGAGAGAGAUUUGUCCCAGAACAAAACAUGUACCGAAAAGGAGGUGGGGAGGAACUUCUGGAUGGAAAGCUAAUCCAUCUGUGCCCAAAAGCGAACCAUCAAGAGAUGCAAGACGUGGUCUUAUUUCAUGGGUUGAGGCUGAAUCAUUGCGACAUUUAUCUGCCAAGUAUUGUCCCCUGGUGCCUCCUCCAAGGUCAACAAUUGCAGCAGCAUUUAGUCCUGAUGGGAGAACACUUGCUUCUACUCAUGGGGAUCAUACUGUGAAGAUAAUUGAUUGUCAAACUGGAAACUGCUUAAAGGUGUUGACUGGUCAUCGGAGGACUCCUUGGGUGGUUAGGUUCCAUCCAUUGCAGCCUGAAAUUCUUGCUAGUGGGAGCUUGGAUUAUGAGGUUCGCUUAUGGGAUGCAAACACAUCAGAGUGUAUAGGAUCUCGUGAUUUCUAUCGUCCUAUUGCUUCCAUUGCUUUCCAUGCUGAAGGGGAAUUGCUUGCAGUUGCAUCAGGUCACAAGUUGUACAUAUGGCACUACAAUAGGAGAGGGGAGGCUUCCUCACCAGCCAUUGUAUUGAAGACAAAGCGUUCUCUUCGAGCAGUGCAUUUUCACCCACAUGCUGCUCCGUUUCUCUUGACUGCUGAGGUCAAUGAUCUUGACUCUUCAGAUUCCUCGAUGGCACGGGCAACAUCUCCAGGCUACCUAAGAUAUCCUCCUCCUGCUGUUUUUAUGACAAAUGUUCAGUCUGGUGAUCGUGUUAGUUUGGCUGCUGAACUACCUCUCAUGUCGUUGCCUUUCUUAUUCAUGCCUUCAUUCUCUAUGGAUGAUAGUAGAACAGAUGUAAAUAGACAUGUUGGUUCGAGCAUAAUACAAGUUGAAUCAUCUGGUUCAAGGCAAUUGCAAACAGAUGCAAAUGCAGCUGAUAACUAUGAUACUUCAGUUUCUCCCAUGGAGACCUUCCCUGCAGUUCCUUGCAGUUCAUAUUCCAGUAGAGAAGGUACAGUAAUUAAUUCUUUUCCUACUGGAACGAGAAGUGGUGUUGCUGACUCCACAGUAGAUGCCAUGGAGACUGAUGAAAUGCAGCCUUUAGGAGGAAAUUAUACUGACCCAGAAACUUCUGCUGGUGCUAAUAGUACAGUGGAUGGAGUAUCUGGAAAUAUUUCAGUUAAGCAGCAUUCCUCAGAGGUUGGGCAACUUCAUCAAUACUUAUCCACUAGAGAACCAACUUGGUGGGAGCUACGCUUUUUGCAAGGAUGGUUAAUGGGUCAAAGCCAAGCUGGUGUUCCAUCAGUGCUUCCUCUUAACAGUGGUGGUCGUGACUAUUCAUCCCAGUUUACAGGUUCCUCCUCAACAUCUUAUCUUUCUAAUUACAAUAUGGAGACUGCAGUGGCUACUUUAGCAAUGCCUGCCAGCACUAGCCUAUCUGGGGUUUCUGGGAGACCCGGCUUGCAACAUAACUAUUCACCUUUCCGCUUUUCUGGGGAGAAUACAGCAGCCGUGAACAUGCAACAUGAUGGCGCUGAUACUCAGCCCAUAUUUAAUAGAAUCCAGUCUGAAAUUGCCACAUCACUGGCAGCUGCUGCUGCAGAGUUACCUUGUACGGUAAAGCUCAGGGUUUGGUCACAUGAUAUGCAAAAUCCUUGUGCCCCACUCAAUGGCGAAAGAUGUCGUUUAACCAUACCUCAUGCUGUCCUAUGUAGUGAAAUGGGUGCUCAUUUUUCACCUUGUGGAAGAUACUUAGCUGCCUGUGUUGCUUGCAUGCUUCCUAAUAUGGAAGCUGACCCUGGAUUACAAACUUUAGUUCAACAAGAUACUGGGGCUGCAACUUCCCCUACCCGACACCCAAUCUCUGCACGCCAAGUUAUGUAUGAGCUUCGCAUAUAUUCCCUGGAGGAGGCAACGUAAAAUUAAUUCCAACUCCAACUCAUAUUAUAUGUUCAUGCGAUUUUGUACUCUUCUUCUGAAGGAUAGUUUAUCUUAUCUAUAAUUUUUUCUGGUUUUCUUUUAUGCAGUUUUGGUUCAGUUCUUGUAUCCCGAGCAAUCAGAGCUGCUCAUUGUUUGACUUCUAUCCAGGUCUGUGGCUUGUUGGUAGACGGAAGUUAUUGUCCUUGUUUGAUUUGUGUGUUGACUAGACUAUUCAUUUUCAUGAUAUUAACUUCUUGAUGUGUUCUGUUAUGCUGUCACCACAAUAGCCUUUCACCAUGAUGCAAUUUCUUUUUGGCCUUAUGUUAUUGUGUUCAUAUAUCGUGCAUAGUAAGAUAAAAGCUUGACCAUACUCUUUUUGUUGGCUUAUUUCUGACAGUGUAUUAGAUUCCUCUGCAUUUUUACUUUUGUGCUUUCUAAACUCAUUUGUAUUUAGUUAGAAAAAGGAAUGCUGGUGCUGGUGUUAAUUCUGGUAUAUUUGAUUGAACUGGUAAUCAACUAUGGACUUGUCAUUUGUGUUAGGUCAAGGAAUAUUAGCCAUGCCUAUAUAUUUGGGGUGUUCUUUUUUGAGGAAGAGGAAAAGCUCAGUAUGCUUGACGCUUUGUUGGCUUAGAUGCUCUGAUUCUGAUUUCCAGAAAAUAUUGGGAUGCGUGAUGUACUUCUGUGUGCUCAAAAAGUAGCUUUGAAUAUGUUGUUUUAAUUCCUUUGGAUUUCACUAAUUAUGCUUGUGUGAAUGUACAGUGUUGUUUUAGUCUUGCUUUGUCAUUUACUAUUUUAGGUUUGUUGUCAUUCUUCAUGUUGUAUGUGCAGUUUUCACCCACUUCUGAGCAUAUAUUGUUGGCUUACGGCCGACGUCAUGGAUCCCUUCUUAAAAGCAUCGUUAUUGAUGGGGAAACAACAUCUCCUAUUUACACAGUUUUAGAGGUUUACAGAGUUUCAGAUAUGGAACUGGUGAGAGUUCUUCCUAGUGCAGAGGACGAGGUCAAUGUUGCUUGCUUUCAUCCUUUUGCUGGGGGAGGUCUUGUUUAUGGAACCAAGGAAGGGAAACUUAGGGUCCUUCGAUUUGAUGGUGCUCAUGGUGUGAAUUGCAGUAGACCAAAUUAUUCUCCAGAAGAUAACUUGGCUGAGGUAGGAUAAUCUGAAAGGUUGCUGCAUUUUAUUUAUUCUUAAUUUUCUUACUGCAUUCUAUUUUUUUCGUUCCUCAACACAUGCACAAACACCAAUGCAAGAAAAUAUUGCAUACUUUUUUAUGAUAAAAAAAUAAAUGUGUAAAAUGCAAGGGAAGUAUUUCAGAAACAAGUUGUGUUUGGUUAGACUGAAGUUCCAUGAUAACAUGUUUAAAAUAUUGUAAGCAAUUCUUUUUUUCUUUUGGAAAAAGAGAUAAAUAUAGACUACAAAGAACAUUUAUUGGAUUAUAAAAAAACACUUUCUGAAGAUCUGUUUUUUAUUCAUUUCUUGGUAAGGUUGAGGCUAGAGUAGAUUAAAAAAAAUGCCCCCCACACUUUCCCCAGAAAGGAGGGAAAGAGCAAGAUACAUGAAAAAUGUUCUUUCAUGGAUAUGGAAGUUUUUAUUUGACUUGAAAAGUGGACUAGGGUUACCUAAUGUGCACCCUCUUGUUUUUAUCUUGCUCCCAUGUAUAGUUUUGUUGUUGAUGGUAGAAAUAUAAUAAACAAUUUUCAAGCAUUUAGAUUAUCUAACUCUAGCCGACCCAAAAUUUUUUGGAU